rnacentral:rRNA from 1 species
AUUGAACGCUGGCGGCAGGCCUAACACAUGCAAGUCGAGCGGGGUUUUCGGACCUAGCGGCGGACGGGUGAGUAAUGCGUAGGAAGCUGCCCGAUAGAGGGGGAUACCAGUUGGAAACGACUGUUAAUACCGCAUAAUGUCUACGGACCAAAGUGUGGGACCUUCGGGCCACAUGCUAUCGGAUGCGCCUACGUGGGAUU